CCCUUAGAUGUUCUGGGCCGCACGCGCGCUACACUGCUGCAUUCAACAAGCCUAGCCUUGACCGAGAGGUCCGGGUAAUCUUUGAAACUGCAUCGUGAUGGGGCUAGAUUAUUGCAAUUAUUAAUCUUCAACGAGGAAUGCCUAGUAAGCGUGAUUCAUCAAAUCGCGUUGAUUACGUCCCUGCCCUUUGUACACACCGCCCGUCGCUCCUACCGAUUGAAUGUGUUGGUGAGGAGCUCGGAUUGGCAGCAGUUGGUGGUUCGCCACCGGCUAUUGCUGAGAAGUCCUCCAAACCGCCCCAUUUAGAGGAAGGAGAAGUCGUAACA
rnacentral:rRNA from 1 species